rnacentral:tRNA from 1 species
GCGGAAGUGGCGGAAUACCAAUUAUCUUGAGAUUUAGGUUCUGGCGCCGCAAGGUGUGAGAGUUCAAGUCUCUCCUUCCGCACCA